rnacentral:rRNA from 1 species
UACGUAGGGUGCAAGCGUUGUCCGGAAUUAUUGGGCGUAAAGAGCUCGUAGGCGGCUUGUCGCGUCGGCUGUGAAACUCGGGCUACACCCGGAGCCUGCGAGUCGAUACGGGCAGGCUAGGGUCCGGCAGGGGAGACUGGAAUUCCUGGUGUAGCGGUGAAAUGCGCAGAUAUCAGGAAGAACACCAUGGCGAAGGCAGCUCUCGUGGGACGGUACUGACGCUGAGACGCGAAGCGUGGGGAGCGAACAGG